rnacentral:rRNA from 1 species
CCUACGGGGGGCUGCAGUAGGGAAUAUUGCGCAAUGGGCGAAAGCCUGACGCAGCCAUGCCGCGUGGAUGAUGAAGGCCUUCGGGUCGUAAAGUCCUUUUCUGAGGGAAGAACUGCCGGGGGAGGAAAUGCCCUUGGCUUGACGGUACCUCAGGAAUAAGCAACGGCUAACUCCGUGCCAGCAGCCGCGGUAAUACGGAGGUUGCAAGCGUUGUUCGGAAUGACUGGGCGUAAAGGGAGCGCAGGCGGCCAAGUCAGUCUGAAGUGAAAGCCCGGGGCUUAACCCCGGAAUAGCUUUGGAUACUGCCUGGCUUGAGUGUGCGAUAGGAAAGCGGAAUUCCAGGUGUAGCGGUGAAAUGCGUAGAUAUCUGGAGGAACACCGGUGGCGAAAGCGGCUUUCUGGCGCAUAACUGACGCUGAGGCUCGAAAGCGUGGGGAGCGAACGGGAUUAGAUACCCCAGUAGUC